UUAAUCUGUGUCGGGCUUAUAAAGUGAAUGUGCGUGUCAAUACCGCCCGCAGUGAGUAUAAGUCCCUCGCCCGCGAUUGCCUCGGUACCCGCGCCGAAGAUAAGCUUUUUGUCAACUCCGUCCAUAAUGUCGGGAUUGCCCGCCUUGCCGAUACCGCAGAUUUUACCGUCCUUUAUUCCUACAUCUGCCUUAUAAAUUCCCGUAACGUCAACUAUCAGCACGCUUGUUAUAAUAGUGUCCGGACAUUCAUCAUCGUUUACACUGCACGACUGACCCAUACCGUCACGC
rnacentral:sRNA from 1 species